CGGGAAAAGCUCAAAUUUAAAAUCUGGUGGCCCUUCCGCCAUCCGAGUUGUAAUUUAGAGAAGCGUCUUCCGCGCUGGACCGUGCAUAAGUCUCCUGGAACGGAGCGUCAUAGAGGGUGAGAAUCCCGU
rnacentral:rRNA from 1 species